rnacentral:rRNA from 1 species
CCUACGGGAGGCUGCAGUGAGGCAUAUUGGUCAAUGGACGAGAGUCUGAACCAGCCAAGUAGCGUGAAGGAUGACUGCCCUAUGGGUUGUAAACUUCUUUUAUAUGGGAAUAAAACGUUCCACGUGUGGGAUUUUGUAUGUACCAUCUGAAUAAGGAUCGGCUAACUCCGUGCCAGCAGCCGCGGUAAUACGGAGGAUCCGAGCGUUAUCCGGAUUUAUUGGGUUUAAAGGGGGCGUAGGUGGAUUGUUAAGUCAGUUGUGAAAGUUUGCGGCUCAACCGUAAAAUUGCAGUUGAAACUGGCAGUCUUGAGUACAGUAGAGGUGGGCGGAAUUCGUGGUGUAGCGGUGAAAUGCUGAGAUAUCACGAAGAACUCCGAUUGCGAAGGCAGUUCACUGGACUGCAACUGACACUGAGGCUCGAAAGUGUGGGUAUCAAACAGGAUUAGAUACCCCGGUAGUC